CCUCUCUUUUUUUAAUAACAUGACUCUGAUGUCCAAUCUUCUCACUUUUCCUAUUCCAGAAGGUUUUGGAUGCUGGAUCCCACUUCUCAGUAACUGAGAUAAAAUCUGACCAGGAGUUCCCAUUGUGGCUCAGUGGAAAGGAAUAUGACUAGCAUCCAUGAGGAUGCAGGUUUGAUUCCUGACCUUGCUCAGUGUGUUAAGGAUCUGGCAUUGCUGUGAGCUGUGGCGUAGGUUGCAGACAUGGUUCAGAUCUGGGGUUGCUGUGGCUGUGGUGUAGGCCGGCAGCUACAGCUCUGAUUAAACCCUUAGCCUGGGAACCUCCAUGUGCCAUGGGUGCAGCCUUAAAAAAAAAAAAAAAAAAGAAAGAAAAAGAAAAGAAAUCUGACCAAUAAGAACUUAAGUACAUGGAUAUAUACAUAUGGUACUAGUCAGGCCAGUACCACUGAGGCUGAGAUUUUUGCUGCAGUGAUAAUAACAGCACAUAUGUACUUACUGAAUGUCAGGCUCCAUCCUAAGUGUUUUUCCUUCUUUCUGUUUUGUAAUCCUCCUAAUAACCCUAUGAGAUAAGAGAAAAAUGGCAUCUUCCUCCCACUGGAAGUUGAAAUCCGAAAGGCUGUAAGCAUGAUGCUUCCUGGGGCCCAGAGCAAAAAUAUCUGAGAAUGGUACUUAAACAGAGGAAAGCUGACCUGAGCAGUGAAAGGACAGCAUAUUUUGAUGAUAUGUAUGAUCCCCUGGAUCCAAAUGUCACAGAAGUCAGCCAAUUAAAAAGAAAUGUCUUAAGUAUUACAAAGAACAGUUUUGUGAAUCAAAUGUCACAAUGAAUAUGGAACUCAAUACUUAUUAUUAGCUUUACUACCCAAAUUAUUGAAAACUAAGCACUGUUUUUCCCUGUGAUAUUUGCAAUAUAAUGGGGAUCAAACUGUUAAAUUAACAGAAUGAAUCCACAGGUAGCAGAAUUCCCUAUUUAAGCAGGAUUUUAUGGCAGAGAAAAAAGGUUUCCUUGAGGCCUGCACAUCAUACCAUACAAAUCAUACCAGAUUCACCUUGAACAAUCAUGCAUUUGGUUCCUAUUCUAUGAAAAUUACUAAAGAAAAGAGGUUGCAAACUCAAAAAUCUCCGAGAGCCAUGCUGCUGUGAACAAGAGCCAAUCAGACCAAACUUUGAAAGCUCAGUUAAGAAAGAGAUCAAGAGCAAUAAAAUUUUUGAUUCUUUUUGAGUCUCUGCAACCAAAUGUGGGUGCAGUUUACAAAUUUGGAUAUAAAAUGGACUGUAAAGACUACAGUGAAGUAGGAUACAUAUAUCCUGCCUUCCUUCCUAAAAUGUUUUAAAUAGUAUCCUUAAAAAAAGAAAGAAACUAGAAUAUAGAUAUAUAUGUAAAAUAGUCUAAUACCUACAUGUUAGCUCAACUUAUUGAGGUAUUCAGCGUGAAGAUGCAAAACAAAACAAAACCACACUACUAUACGUCAGGCACUCUAAACAUUGAGAAACCUUUGGGUUAAGAACAGUAAUAAAAUGAGAAAGAGGAACUUUCUCCUAGAAUCGCACUUUUUAAUUAAUAUAAAAUAUUACACAAUCACAAUUAGAAAUAGAGAAAUUGGGACAGAUGGUAGAGACUCUUGAAUGCUGAAAUAAGAGAUUUAGAUUUGAAUAGGUAGGAAAAUGGCUAGUGCACUCUAAAUUAUCAUACAAUUCUUAAAUGUCUGAAUCACUGAGAUUUUUGAUUAUGGGAUUAAGAUAAAAGAGUCUCUUAAUCUGUGAUUUAUGGGUUUAUAUCAACAGCCUUAAUUUUAUCCAAAUGUUUAUAUAACUGCCUGUGAGUUUUUCUGGAGAUAGGCUUACUAUUCCUAUAUUUUCCCAUCACCCCUUCCUCCCUCUCUCCCUCCAUCCUUCCUUCUCUCCAUCUCUUUCUACCUUCUACCCACCAUCCUUUAAUUAUUAUCCGGUUUCUAAGCCACAUUCCUGCUUGAUUUUUUUUUUUGUCUUUUUAGGGCUGCACCCAUGGCAUACGGAGGUUCCCAGGCUUGGGGUCAAAUCAUAGCUAUAGCCACUGGCCUACACCACAGCCACAGCCAAAGCAACACCAGAUCCAAGCAACAUCAGAUGCAAGGUGCGUCUUCGAACUACACCACAGCUCAUGGCAAUACUGGAUCCUUAACCCACUGAGCAAGUCCAGGGAUCGAACCUGCAUCCUCAUGGAUGCUAGUCAGAAUCGUUUCUACUGCGCCGCAAUGGGAACUCCCAUAAACAUUAUUUUUUAACUUAUUUCCUUGACGAAUGAACUACAAUAGCACAGAAUUUCAAUAUGUUUAAAUAGAUAACUCCAAGUUAUUAAAACAGCAAUAAAGUUAAACCACAAGAUUUCAAAUCCUAGCUGUGCCACCUAAUCACUGUGUUAACAUUCACCAAGUCACUAUACCUUUUUCUAAAUUAGUCUCCUAAAUUACAUGGUUGCUAAUUUCAUUCUAGUUCUAAAAUUUCACGAGUAUAUAAGUCUAGAAUAUUUGACAUAUCAUUAUCAGUACUUUUACUUCUGACAUAAUAUAUCUGUGUUUAAACAAAAUAUAAUCAAAGUGCCCAGUACUUAAUUGGUCAUUUCAGAUAUAACCAAUAAAAGGUAAGAAGGAGAGAGUACUCUGUCUAUACCACAGACUCUACCAAAUUAUAUAUAAUUUCCUAAGCGGCUACACCUACACUGAAUUGAUGUAUAUGUGUCUUUUAAAACCUAUGCAUUCAAUGGCCCAUAGUUUUAGUAUGAUUUAUGAAAUUUCUAAUUUUUCUCUCAAUUAUAUGUAAUUAUAAAGCCCUCUGACUAUCUACUGUGGAUUCCUUUAUUCAUCUUUUCUGACUUUACCUCUGAGAAGCAAAAUAUUCUUUGGAAUAAACUUCAAGAAACACUAAAACAAAAAUAUGAAAGCAGUAAGAUAAAAUAACAAAAUAAUAUAUAAAAUUAAAAGAUGAAACAAAGUAGAGGUUUUACCUCUAUAAAGAUUAUACAAUGACAAAAAAACUGCAGAUCAACAAUCUACUAAAAGAGAACAUACAAAAAUUUAAAAGUAUGUUAUUGAUGUCCUUUCCUCUAUUUCUGAAUACUGAGUAAUAGUUAAUUCCCAUUGUUACCACAAAAGUAAAUGUUUUAAAAUAUAUAUGCUUUUAAAAGCAUAUAUACUUGCAUGUGUAUUUAUAUUUUUUUUGCUGGUAGUCCUAAAAUUGGAAAGUAUCCUUGUUUCUAAAUGGAUGAAAUUAAUAGAUAUCCUGCAUUGUACUGCUGCUACUUCCUUCCAAUUUAAUUAUGUUACUGUAGUGAAGAGUUUUAUAGAUUUAUUGUGUAUUAUUAUAAAUGUCAUUGACUGUGACGUUGGGCAUUAACAUGUCAGUUAUUUGCUUUUAGGUUAAUAAAAUGUUUUUACAGGAAAAAGAACGGUGAUAUGCAAUACAAUGCAUAAACCCAUUCUGAUACGCACAUCAUGAAACUACAGAAACUACUCCAUGAGCAAUCAGUUUAACUCAUUUCUCUCAACAAUGUUCUACUAGAAGCUCUCCUCUGCAGCAUCAUUAUGGUGAGCAAGAUAGCCUAACCAUCUGGUUUAUUCUAAAUCAGACAAUUUCUCAAUCUUUGAGGAAUACAGGGUUGGUUCCUUCAUUUCUACUUCCCCAAUGAGAUACAAUCAUUUGUCUGAUGGGAUAGCUAUUAGAGAAGACAGUAAAGCACCUCAGGCAUCUUCUGAGGCUGAUAAAAUAUAGAGUGGCAUCAGAUAAUGACUGAACAUCAUUAUAUAAAAUUGGAAUCCUACACUCAGGAGACCUUUCACUUGAUCAGGUACAUAUUUAUGCCACCUUGCAAUACUUACUUUCAAGAUAGGACAGAAAGCUUUAGUCUGCCAGAUAAUUACAGAUUACCAGAUUACUUGUAUUUUUGAUAAGUGCAUGAAUAGGAGUGUAAACAUGCAUGAGUAAGCAUGAGGAAGUCAAAGACCUCCUGAUUCUGGGGAAGCAGUGCUUAUCGCUUAGAAGCAAAGUCAAGAUCUCCUUCAGCCUCAAUUUCUUAAUUAAAAUGCCAGUAGCUGUGGAUGUCUUAAUCCAUAGUCAGAAGAAAAUAUACUAAGGAAGUUGAAGUGGAGAGGGAAAACAAACCCAUCACUAUAGCAAA
rnacentral:lncRNA from 1 species